UACGGAGGGUGCGAGCGUUGUCCGGAAUCACUGGGCGUAAAGGGCGCGUAGGUGGCGCGGGCAGUCAACGGUGAAAGUUCGGGGCUCAACCCUGAAUCGGCCGUCGAUACUCCCGUGCUUGAGCACUGUAGAGGCAGAUGGAAUUCCGGGUGUAGCGGUGGAAUGCGUAGAGAUCCGGAAGAACACCGGUGGCGAAGGCGGUCUGCUGGGGUCGAACUGACGCUGAGGCGCGACAGCGUGGGGAGCAAACAGG
rnacentral:rRNA from 1 species